CUCCAACGAGCGCAAUGGGCGAAAGCCUGACGCAGCCAUGCCGCGUGAAUGAUGAAGGUCUUAGGAUUGUAAAAUUCUUUCACCGGGGACGAUAAUGACGGUACCCGGAGAAGAAGCCCCGGCUAACUUCGUGCCAGCAGCCGCGGUAAUACGAAGGGGGCUAGCGUUGCUCGGAAUUACUGGGCGUAAAGGGAGCGUAGGCGGACUGUUUAGUCAGAGGUGAAAGCCCAGGGCUCAACCUUGGAAUUGCCUUUGAUACUGGCAGUCUUGAGUACGGAAGAGGUAUGUGGAACUCCGAGUGUAGAGGUGAAAUUCGUAGAUAUUCGGAAGAACACCAGUGGCGAAGGCGACAUACUGGUCCGUUACUGACGCUGAGGCUCGAAAG
rnacentral:rRNA from 1 species